rnacentral:tRNA from 1 species
GGCAGAGUGCCCUAGUGGCAUGGGAAAUACCCCGAUAUGUAAUGGUUUCGGCCGCGCAGGUUCGAGUCCUGUCUCCGUCG